CUUGGCUCCUGAGCCACCAAAUGUCUUGUUGGUUUCUAAAACGAUUAUUGUAACUUUCAUCAACACAGAUUUAUUUUCAUACUACAUAAUUUACUUACUUUUUAAUAACUCCUGCAAACAAUUUUCUUUUUGUACUACAGGGUGCAAGUGCCCAAUAAACUGGUGGAAGAAUUUACAGAGAGCAGGCACAAAGAAACAAGCUGAAUUCAAACUUCAUCCAGCAUGUUAAAAAAUGUGCAAUCGUAUGAAAUAAAACCAGAACAUUGAAAAAUG